rnacentral:tRNA from 1 species
GUUAAAGUGGCAGAGUCCGGUAUACUGCUAAAGACCUAAGUCCUUUCUCACAGAUGUUCAAAUCCUCUCUUUAACU